CAGGGUAAAGCAAUGAGUUUGCAGGAUGAAUGGUUAAUGAAGAUUUUGGCAGAAGAAUGUACUUUUGCUACAGAAUCAAUUAAUUAGUGAGGGUAAUGCCUGUUUAAUUAGUGGGGGUGUAAUGCCUGUGAAUUAGUGAGGGUGUAAUGCCUGUGAAUUAGUGAGGGUGUAAUGCCUGUGAAUUAGUGGGGGUGUAAUGCCUAUUUAAUUAGUGGGGGUGAAAUGCCUGUUUAAUUAGUAAGGGUGUAAUGCCUGUGAAUUAGUGGGUGUGUAAUGCCUGUGAAUUAGUGGGUGUGUAAUGCCUGUGAAUUAGUGGGGGUGUAAUGCCUGUGAAUUAGUGGGGGUGUAAUGCCUGUGAAUUAGUGAGGGUGUAAUGCCUUUUUAAUUAGUGGGGGUGUAAUGCCUGUUUAAUUAGUGGGGGUGUAAUGCCUGUUUAAUUAGUGGGGGUGUAAUGCCUGUGAAUUAGUGAGGGUGUAAUGCCUGUUUAAUUAGUAAGGGUGUAAUGCCUGUGAAUUAGUAAGGGUGUAAUGCCUGUUUAAUUAGUGGGGCUGUAAUGCCUGUGAAUUAGUAAGGGUGUAAUGCCUGUGAAUUAGUGAGGGUGUAAUGCCUGUGAAUUAGUGAGGGUGUAAUGCCUGUGAAUUAGUGAGGGUGUAAUGCCUGUGAAUUAGUGAGGGUGUAAUGCCUGUGAAUUAGUGAGGGUGUAAUGCCUGUGAAUUAGUGAGGGUGUAAUGCCUGUUUAAUUAGUGGGGGUGUAAUGCCUGUUUAAUUAGUGGGGGUGUAAUGCCUGUUUAAUUAGUGGGGGUGUAAUGCCUGUGAAUUAGUGGGGGUGUAAUGCCUGUGAAUUAGUGGGGGUGUAAUGCCUGUUUAAUUAGUGGGGGUGUGAUGCCUGUUUAAUUAGUAAGGGUGUAAUGCCUGUGAAUUAGUGGGGUGUAAUGCCUGUGAAUUAUUAAGAAAAUAUAUAAUCCACAUCCUAAAUACAAUGUCUUAUUAUACACACACCGCAACACUUUUAACCAUGUCAUUUUAAGUCUGUAUACUUUGUUUCCAUGAGGAAAUAAUAGUUUUUCAGGCACUUUGUGUGCAGUUUGUUGCUUUCCAAUGGAGAAGCUCCUUGACUGAGCCGUAGUCAUCCUCAGUCUUCUUCGACACCCAACAGUUUCUCUGUCUCUGGCACAAGUCUGAGUGCCAUUUGGUUCAAACCUGCCUCUUUUGUUGCUGGUAGGAGAAGCUUUGAAGUAGGUGGGAGGUGUGUGAAGGUAAAGGGGGAAGGGUUCCUACUUGGACCCUUCUGGCUCUCCCCUCUUUGCCGGUAAAAGGUUUGGUGUGUAUUCCUUUUGUCCUUGUCGUCUGGUGUGGAUGUGUUGGUGCGACACUGCUGGACUGAGUUCAUUGGCGUAGUAGUGUACAGGACCGGG
rnacentral:lncRNA from 1 species